rnacentral:rRNA from 1 species
GACGUAGGGUCCAAGCGUUGUCCGGAUUGACUGGGCGUAAAGGGCGUGUAGGCGGUCGGCCAAGUCUGAUGUGAAAGCCCGAGGCUCAGCCUCGGAAGUGCGUCGGAAACUAGUCGGCUGGAGCGCGAUAGAGGAGGGUGGAAUUCCUGGUGUAGCGGUGAAAUGCGUAGAUAUCAGGAGGAACACCGGCGGCGAAGGCGGCCCUCUGGAUCGUUGCUGACGCUGAUACGCGAAAGCGUGGGGAGCAAACAGG